UAGGUAGGGUGCGAGCGUUAAUCGGAAUUACUGGGCGUAAAGCGUGCGCAGGCGGCUUUGCAAGACAGAUGUGAAAUCCCCGGGCUCAACCUGGGAACUGCAUUUGUGACUGCAAGGCUAGAGUACGGCAGAGGGGGAUGGAAUUCCGCGUGUAGCAGUGAAAUGCGUAGAUAUGCGGAGGAACACCAAUGGCGAAGGCAAUCCCCUGGGCCUGUACUGACGCUCAUGCACGAAAGCGUGGGGAGCAAACAGG
rnacentral:rRNA from 1 species